rnacentral:tRNA from 1 species
CAGUGUAGUGGUUAUCACGUUCGCUUCACACGCAAAAGGUUCUCGGUUCGAUCCCGACAGA